rnacentral:rRNA from 1 species
AUUGAACGCUGGCGGCAUGCCUUACACAUGCAAGUCGAACGGUAACAGGGAGCUUGCUCCGCUGACGAGUGGCGAACGGGUGAGUAAUGUAUCGGAACGUACCUUUCAGUGGGGGAUAACGUAGCGAAAGUUACGCUAAUACCGCAUAUUCUGUGAGCAGGAAAGCAGGGGAUCGCAAGACCUUGCGCUGAUUGAGCGGCCGAUAUCAGAUUAGCUAGUUGGUGAGGUAAAGGCUCACCAAGGCGACGAUCUGUAGCGGGUCUGAGAGGAUGAUCCGCCACACUGGAACUGAGACACGGUCCAGACUCCUACGGGAGGCAGCAGUGGGGAAUUUUGGACAAUGGGGGCAACCCUGAUUCAGCCAUGCCGCGUGAGUGAAGAAGGCCUUCGGGUUGUAAAGCUCUUUCGGCCGGGAAGAAAUCGCAUGGGUUAAUACCCUGUGCGGAUGACGGUACCGGCAUAAGAAGCACCGGCUAACUACGUGCCAGCAGCCGCAGUAAUAC